rnacentral:rRNA from 1 species
UACGGGGGGGGCAAGCGUUGUUCGGAAUUACUGGGCGUAAAGGGCUCGUAGGCGGCCAACUAAGUCAGACGUGAAAUCCCCAGGCUCAACCUGGGAACUGCGUCUGAUACUGGAUGGCUUGAAUCCGGGAGAGGGAUGCAGAAUUCCAGGUGUAGCGGUGAAAUGCGUAGAUAUCUGGAGGAAUACCGGUGGCGAAGGCGGCAUCCUGGACUGGUCCUGACACUCAGGAGCGAAAGCGUGGGGAGCGAUCCGG